rnacentral:ncRNA from 1 species
CUUAUCAAGAGCGGCUGAGGGACAGGCCCUGUGAAGCCCGACAACCUGCGCGCAAGCGUAAGGUGCCAAAUCCUGCGGGGAACCGAAAGAUAAG